UCAGUAUUAAGUUUCAUGAAUUUUCUACGAUGAUUCUAAAUGCUUUUAAAAUAUUAACACGUAAAUGUUUUAGGAUCGGGCUUGUUCUUUGUUUAUCUGUGCUUACUUUACGUCUUGUGCAAUUAGAUACGUCAAUACCUGUACUUUUCUGGGGACCGUGAGGAGACGCAGGUAUCGUAGGACGUUGCGACCAAACUAAUUACUGAGCAGUGUGUUGCCGAAUUACUCCUACAAAAUUCUCCAAGUAUGACAUGAGGAGGCCAUUUUGGAAAAAAAAUAAAGAGAGACGUAAAAAAUCCGUGGGCUUUCACUAUAAAAAAAAUACUGUUUCGCCUAAAAAUAUACUAUAUUGAGCUGUCAAUCAAGUAAAUUUCUUCCCCUCAAAGCAAGUACCCACAGAAUUUUUUACUUCACUUUCACACAUGGCGUUAAAAAAACAAAAUAGGGGAGAAAACCUCCUAUCCUGGGUACUCAUAAUGCUGAAUAUGGACAUUCACAACUCAUGACUCAUGACACUUACCAAAGGCGAGUCAUUCAAAUGUUCAAAAAAUUCCGUUAUAAAAUCUGAGUAACCAAAUCUUAAGAAACUACUUAAACAAGUAUGACAAAUGCAACAAAGUUAGUCUAACACAUUUAGAUUCCCGGGCACGAAGGUAAAUCCUGAAAAAUGGACUUUAUUAAAAUUAAAGUCCUGUAAAUUUUA